rnacentral:rRNA from 1 species
UACGAAGGGGACUAGCGUUGUUCGGAAUUACUGGGCGUAAAGCGCGCGUAGGCGGCUUUUCAAGUCGAUUGUGAAAUCCCCGGGCUUAACCUGGGAACUGCAGUCGAGACUGUCUAGCUAGAGUAUGGGAGAGGGAAGUGGAAUUUCAGGUGUAGCGGUGAAAUGCGUAGAUAUCUGAAGGAACAUCAGUGGCGAAAGCGACUUCCUGGACCAAUACUGACGCUUAUGUGCGAAAGCGUGGGGAGCAAACAGG